rnacentral:misc_RNA from 1 species
GCCUUCGCAACUCGGGAAUUAUUUCAUUUGAUAAUUGUUCAAACAGCCUCUUAGCCAAAAAAAUCCUAGGUUUGACUCAAAAUUUUGCUAUUGCAACUUGCAGGUGAAUGGCCAAAGCCAUUUCGAGAUCAGCUGUGUGAUGCGCUUCUGCACCCAUGGUUUGAGAAGGGACCAUUUUCAGCUCCUUGCGGCUUCCUUUAAUUUGUAUGGUUUGAGACUUAUAGGGCGCGUUCAAUUGCUCAAGUUUAACCGAUCAGUAAAUCAUCCUCAGCAACGCUCACACACUUUGCCAAGCAAACAAUCGCCUAUUGCGAGAAGCAGCAAUGGUAAGCAGGGCUGCUACAUUCAUAUAAUAACAACUGAAGCCUUGUAAUAUCAAUGCUUGGCACAACAACUCGUGGACUUUGGCCAAUAGUUUUGGUGAACAGUAAAACUAAACAGUAGGUAAACUACCGUUAUACAAGAAUUUCACGAGACCACAAAAGGAUUCUGCUGGAGAGUUUCAAAACAAAGUGCAAUGAGAUGACCCAAUUCAUUUGGAUACCUUUCUGCUUGAUCACCAUCACUUGUGCUGCCUGAUUGAUAAGCUUGGGUAACAAAUUUACACAUCUGUGCACCGGUAAUCAAAUUCCAUGCUGCACGGUGAAUAAAAAGCAGGUCUUGACACCCAUCAGCAAUAUCCUAAUAAAGUAAUAAUAACACUUCCUGCUCAAGGGAGCACAGAGAUGAACGCACAUAUGAAGAGCAAUAACGCUGUUCAAUAAACUGGUCACCUUUUGCAUGUCUUAAAUCAUUUGACAGACAGUUCCAAUCUGAAUUGUGGCUGAAUAACCCUUACAAACUCAUGGCACUUUAUAGUUCAUAUUCUUCACUUUCUCAGAUAGCUUAUCAAUACUUCAGCCAGAGACUUGCACAAUCCAAGUGCUUCGAAUUUUUGCUCCUCUUCAUAAAAUAUAUGCCACUGUUUUGCCAAAGCAAAGUCAUUUACCUCUGUGUCUCAGAUUCUCUCUCUCGCCGGUAAACAUAAAUGGAGCCUAAGACCACUCUUCCAAUCCUUCUGCUUUUUCGAGUUCUUUUACUUACACCUUUCUUUCUGUCCUUCUUAACUAUAGGUUGGGAGGGUACAAGCUGAAUCCAUCUCAAAGGCAGUAAUGCUGCAACAAAUUGUAUCAAAAUUACGAUAGGCAGGUUCGAGUAAUUACCAGCUGUUAUUCCCAUAAAGGAAGCUAGGCCAACACCCAAAAACCCACCAAGAAUUGAUGACAAACACAAUGCUGAUGCCAAGAAAGAAGUGAGGGAACCUUCAAAACCCUUGGGACAUAAACUUGCCAGUAAUACUGAAAAGGGAAGAAGCUUAAAUUGUGCAAGUGUUUCUGCUAAACCCGAAAAACAACAAACAAAUACCUCAUUGGGAAUCCCAUGUCUAAGAUUGAUCUGUCUCACUAGAACAAAGUCAAGAAGAAGAGAAGCAGCAUAGAGGAAUUGCACUGCACCUAUCAAUUUCCUCAUGGGCACUUCUUUCCAGUAACGGUCAUAGAGUAUAGACAUAGAAAGAAGCAUCAACUGGCCAAUUACUCGUGACAAUCCUAUAACUGAAGGAUCGAGAUGUAGACAUUGCAUUUGAUAGCAAAAGAUAGAACCUGAGAGAGCUGGGACUAUGGCAAUGGAAGCAACAAUCCAAAUAAGAGGGCAAGAGAUGGAUUCCUCACGUAAUGCCUUUUUAAGACCACUUAGCUGUUUUCCAAUAUUUUCCCAGAUUGAUUUCUUUGCAAAAAUGUGAUGUGAUAGUUGUGAUAAACCCAGAGACUCCUCCCUAGCUGUCGAUGAAAUUGUAAGUUGAAUAGAUAAUAAAAAGGCAAAUAUGAUAAACAUGUUUUGUGGUGGUGUUUUCAAUAAGAAGCAACCACCAAGUAAGUUGCCUAGGAUUCCACCCACAGCUGAAGCCAUAAAUGCAUAGGACUGGAGACCUGUCUUUUUGUGUUUUUGGCCAUACUCUGCAACAAGAGCAUCCUUUGCAACUUCUGUAAUUGAUGCGCCAAGAUUACCAAGAAGAACACAAGCCAGAAGAGUAGGAAGGGCUUCACGGGCAACUGGGAUGAAUCCUAAUGGCCCCCAAGAUAGGACCUGCAUCAAGACCCCAAUGAGGAUAUAAGGUAUUCUAUGAGCACCACCAAUGGAUAUAGCAUCAGAGAGGAUUCCAUAUAGAGGCUUGGCCACCAUGGGAAGGUUAGCAGAGUACUGCACAAGCUGCAAUAUUGAUGGGUGCAGAUUGAGAUUGUUGGCCAUGUGGAAGUUGAGAGCCAACCAUGGAAAGCACCUAAAACCCUGCAUCCAAUACCCAAACCCACAUAAUAAAGCCAUCUGCUGGCUACCCGCUUGGGCAAAACCUCUCUUCUCCUCAUAUCCCCUGCUUAUAUUGCCCUUCUGGGGAAAAACUGGACUUGGGGUAAUUAUUCCAAAAAGAUGGGUUCUGGGUUUAGCAAGUCUGUUGAUGAUGUUGGGAUUUUGAUUUUGAAAACAGCAUUGAGUCGGUCUCAAGUGGAAGUGAGAUAAUCUUAGGGGAGGUAAACAUAAAUUUGGGUUUUUAGGAGCUAUCGUUGCAAUUGGGUUUUUAGUAGCAGAUGAUGAUGAAGGAAUCAUGGUUGUAGAGUAUUAUGAGGUUGACAACAGUAAUCUAUGUAAUAGUUGACCCAAAACAAACAAACUUGCAUAAGUUUUGCCUGUGAGAAAGCCAAAGAGAAUAACAGGGGACAAAUGACAAGAAGUACAGCAUAAAUAAUAAGAAGGCAGCAAAACCCACUUUGUGAAUUGCUCGAGGAAGAAGAAAGAAUAUAAUAAAUGGGAAGAGAGAUCUGGAAGGGUUUAGGCAAAGGUUCU